GGCGAGGAGCGCCGGUGAGAGGCGGGGAGGAUUUCUAAUGAGGCAUUGACACCGGCUGUCCGCGGCCGAGUGUGGUUCUUCUAACUCUGUGAUUUUGCGAGAGCAGAAUACUUCAGGGCAAAUAACCUGGCAAAACUCAGGAAGGAGAAACCUGUUUGAAAGCCAUACAAUUGACUUGGAGAAGGUGCUGCAAAUUUGUGGAGAAAUUAAAACUGGAAACACUUUCAAUUUUAUAUGUAAUAG